GGUUUCCCUGUGCCCUAAAAUAGGAAACUUGAAAGUGGAAAGGCAGAGCACGAAGAAGAAAAAUGGCGCCAUUAAAAUCUCUGGAGCAGCUUCACCCAAUCAUAGACACUACUUUUCAGAGCUUUUGUGCUUCACACGGCAUUUUCACUGUGGAGGAUUUCCUCAUCCAUGACCUCUACGUUUUAGCUGCUUUCGCCGAGCAACAGCCGGAGUCAGAGAAAUUGAAGCAGGGGAUUACCCAAAUCCUUUCUGUAAUUAAUGCUGAGCGACAGUCAUGGAUGAACGGUUUGGAACUUUUGGAAGAUGCUCGAGAAAAUAAGCAUGUUCUAUCCACUGGUUUUGAAGGGGUUGAUACUUUGCUUGGAGGUGGGUUACGUGAGGGACAGUUGACGGAAAUUGUUGGGCCAUCUUCUUCUGGUAAAACUCAGGUUUGCCUGCGAGCUGCUUCAAAUGUGGCAACGAACUACAAUGCAAAGGUUUUCUACUUGGACACAGGGAAUUCCUUUUCACCCCAACGCAUCUCAGGCUUUGUUAAUUGGAAAUCCGGACCUUCCAUAGCUCGGACUGGGCAGAACAUGCUUCAACAAGUAAUGAACAGCAUUUCAUGCCACUCUGUGUACGACAUUUUCACAUUCUUUGAUGUGCUGCAUCAGCUUGAAUUCAAUUUGAGAUCCCAGACGUGCAAAGGGGAUCGAAGAGUGCAGUUACUGAUAGUAGAUUCGAUUUCUUCACUAAUUACACCUAUCCUUGGUGGAAGUAGUUCACAGGGACAUGCUUUGAUGGUAUCUGCUGGAUCGCUAUUGAAGAAAAUAGCUCAUGAAUAUAAUAUUGCAGUACUAUAACAUGUAAGUGUAAUGCCAAAGGUAAUAAACCACACGGUGGGUGGAGAUAGAGGUACUUCAAAACCUGCCUUAGGAGAGAGUUGGAAGAGUGUUCCACACGUGAGGCUGCAGCUUUCCCGAGACCCAGGGAGCAGUGUCUGCCAAGCUUCAAUAUUAAAACACUCAUCCAUGGCAUCUGGUAUGACUGCAAGAUUCGUAAUUUAUGAAUGAAAAGAAGGAACUUCUCGUACAAUGAACUAGAAAAUGGCAACCCAACUGGGUCUCUUUACUCGAAUGGGGUGUGAAGGUAUGUACAAAAACUGGAAUUUUGCUAGUUUUUUUCUGGUUGCUUCUCUGUGAACUCUCUGUAUGCGUAGGACAGUUUUGUAAACAAUGAUGAUGAAUCCAAAUAUUAAUUUUCAAUUUGGUUCUCCUUUAUUUUU